rnacentral:tRNA from 1 species
GCCUGGGUGGCUCAGUGGUUGAGCGUCUGCCUUUGGCUCAGGUCGUGACCCCGGGGUUCUGGGAUCGAGUCCCACAUCAGGCU